rnacentral:rRNA from 1 species
CCCUUAGAUGUUCUGGGCCGCACGCGCGCUACACUGAAUGGAUCAACGUGUUUUCCCUUCCCGAGAGGGACGGGUAACCCGCUGAACCCCAUUCGUGGUAGGGAUCGGAGCUUGCAAUUGUUCUCCGUGAACCAGGAAUUCCCAGUAAGCGCAAGUCAUAAGCUUGCGUUGAUUACGUCCCUGCCCUUUGUACACACCGCCCGUCGCUCCUACCGAUUGAAUGAUCCGGUGAGGCCCCCGGAUUGUGGCAAUGGCUCUGGUUCGCCAGACCAAUGCUGCGAGAAGCUGUCCAAACCUUAUCAUUUAGAGGAAGGAGAAGUCGUAACA